GAACGCAGCGAGACAACGGAGCCGCCUGCGGCGACGGCCCGAAGGGCGAGGCGAAGCGAGUCAUCCUGCACGACCCAUCA
rnacentral:sRNA from 1 species